AAUGCACACAAACCCCAAGGUCAUUAUAGAAAUGUGUAAUGCUCUUGCUAUGUGUGCAGAAAGGAAGAGCACCUUGUCGCCUUUCAUGGGCUGCUGUGCUUAUGAAAGUGAAUUCAGGGUGCCACACUA
ensembl:snoRNA